UACAGAGGGGCAAGCGUUGUUCGGAAUUACUGGGCGUAAAGGGCGCGUAGGCGGCCUUCUAAGUCGAACGUGAAAUCCCUGGGCUCAACCCAGGAACUGCGUCCGAUACUGGAAGGCUUGAAUCCGGGAGAGGGAUGCGGAAUUCCAGGUGUAGCGGUGAAAUGCGUAGAUAUCUGGAGGAACACCGGUGGCGAAGGCGGCAUCCUGGACCGACACUGACGCUGAGGAGCGAAAGCCAGGGGAGCAAACGGG
rnacentral:rRNA from 1 species